AUGAGCCCCAGCCUCUUUUGUGUGACUCUCUGUCUCUUUGUGUCAGGCCCUGUGAAUGCUGCAAUCACCCAGACGCCAAGAUACCGUAUUCUACAAACAGGGAAGAAGACAACCCUGGAAUGUUCUCAGCAUAUGAACCAUUUUGCAAUGUACUGGUAUCGACAAGACCCUGGACAGGGGCCAAGGCUGAUGUAUUAUUCGGGAGGUGUCAACAGCACUGCCAAAGGAGAUGUCACGGAAGGUUACAGCGUCUCCCGAAACAAGAAUGAGCAUUUCACCUUGAUCCUGGAGUCAGCCAGCGCCAACCAGACUUCUCUGUACCUCUGUGCCAGCAGUGAAUACACAGCACUGUGCAGCCAGCUGCUCUCUGCACACAAAGGUCAGCCACAGGUGUGA